rnacentral:rRNA from 1 species
GCCAACGGCCAUAGCAGGUUAAAAACUUCGGUUCUCGACCGAUCAUUGAAGUGAAGCAAUGUCGGGCGAGGUUAGUACAUGGAUGGGUGACCAUCAAUGUGCACUUUAUUAAUCAUACAUG